GAUGAAGAACGUAGUGAAAUGCGAUAAGUAGUGUGAAUUGCAGAAUUCCGUGAAUCAUCGAAUCUUUGAACGCACAUUGCGCCUCCUGGUAGUCCGGGAGGCAUGCCUGUUCGAGCGUCACCAAAUCCAACUCAAGCGGCUUUGCGCUUGGUCGUGGCGGAAGAGUCGGUCUGGUUGCCGUCUCCCCUCCGAAAAUCAACGGCGGAAAGUCACUGGCAGUCAGCGUAGUAGUAUCGUUCGCCGAACAUCCAGUGGCAUUCCUGCCGACGUACCCCCACAAUUCUCGUGAUUGACCUCGGAUCAGGUAGGGAUACCCGCUGAACUUAAGCAUAUCAAUAAGCGGAGGA
rnacentral:misc_RNA from 1 species